rnacentral:lncRNA from 1 species
GUAGCCGUUCCCCUCUCUAGGGCAUCUUCCUGUUUGAUGGUGUCACAGAGCUUACCAAACAAAACUUGUCAUAACCAAAGGUAUUUGGGAAAAAGUAAGUAAGCUACUUCAAAGUCUAGCCAUCUAAAACAUCUCAUGACAUCUUCUACUCUUUCUCUGUGACCUUUAUGGCCCCGUAUUCCAGAAUCAAGACCCUCGCUACUGCCUCCAGACCAGCCUGGUGUUUGGUGCUUUCCCGUGCGUCCUCCUGUGGUGCGCCGUGCCUCCUCUUCCUGGGAAGGGGAAUAAAUGUUGACAAUACAGUGCUGCUGCUGCUGCUGCUGCUGCUGCUAAGUCGCUUCAGUCGUGUCCGACUCUGUGUGACCCCAUAGACGGCAGCCCACCAGGCUCCCCCGUCCCUGGGAUUCUCCAGGCAAGAACACUGGAGUGCGUUGCUGUUCCCUUCUCCAAUGCAUGAAAGUGAAAAUUGAAAGAGAAGUCGCUCAGGUGUGUCCAACUCCUCGCAACCUCAUAGACUGUAGCCUAC